AACGAACGCUGGCGGCAUGCCUAACACAUGCAAGUCGAACGAGACCUUCGGGUCUAGUGGCGCACGGGUGCGUAACGCGUGGGAACCUGCCCUUAGGUUCGGAAUAACUCCCCGACAGGGGUGCUAAUACCGGAUAAUGUCUUCGGACCAAAGAUUUAUCGCCUUUGGAUGGGCCCGCGUUGGAUUAGCUAGUUGGUAGGGUAAAAGCCUACCAAGGCGACGAUCCAUAGCUGGUCUGAGAGGAUGAUCAGCCACACUGGGACUGAGACACGGCCCAGACUCUUACGGGAAGCAGCAGUGGGGAAUAGUGGAAAAUGGGCGAAAGCCUGAUCCAGCAAUGCCGCGUGAGUGAUGAAGGCCUUAGGGUUGUAAAGCUCUUUUACCCGGGAUGAUAAUGACAGUACCGGGAGAAUAAGCUCCGGCUAACUCCGUG
rnacentral:rRNA from 1 species